rnacentral:rRNA from 1 species
UACGGGGGGGGCAAGCGUUGUUCGGAAUUAUUGGGCGUAAAGGGCGCGUAGGCGGCUUGGCAAGUGGAAGGUGAAAUCCCUCGGCUUAACCGAGGAACUGCCCUCCAAACUGCUUGGCUUGAGACCGGGAGAGGUGAGUGGAAUUCCCAGUGUAGCGGUGAAAUGCGUAGAUAUUGGGAGGAACACCAGUGGCGAAGGCGGCUCACUGGACCGGUACUGACGCUGAGGCGCGAAAGCGUGGGGAGCAAACAGG